AAAUCGCUUUUCGAGGAAAGUGACCAUUUGCGAUUAGUUGCUUUGCGACCAACUUGGUCGGGCGACCACUGUCAGUCCCCGGUGUUAAUGAGCCUUUAGUGUUUGUUUUGUUUA
rnacentral:lncRNA from 1 species